rnacentral:rRNA from 1 species
UACAGAGGUGCCAAGCGUUAGGCGGAACUCACGUGGCUUAAAGCGCGUGUAGGUGGGUCGUUAAGUGUCCGCGUGAAAUCCCACGGCUCAACCGUGGAACUGCCGGGCAUACUGGCGAUCUUGAGGCAUUCAGGGGCGAGCGGAACAAAUGGUGGAGCGGUGAAAUGCGUAGAUAUCAUUUGGAACGCCAAUGGUGAAAACAGCUCGCUGGGAAUGAUCUGACACUGAGACGCGAAAGCCAGGGGAGCGAACGGG